rnacentral:rRNA from 1 species
UGUUGUCCUGGUGCAAGCGCGUAGGCCGAGAGAUAGGCAAAUCCGUCUCUCACAUAGGCUGAGACACGAUGCGGAUAAAAAGUGGGUGAUCCUAUGCUGCCAAGAAAAGCAUCGACGCGAGGUUCAAGCCGCCCGUACCCCAAACCGACUCAGGUGGUCAGGUAGAGAAUACUAAGGAGAUCGAGAGAAUCGUGGUUAAGGAACUCGGCAAAAUGCCCCCGUAACUUCGGGAGAAGGGGGGCCUUCGACGUAUAAGGAUUUACUCCGAAAGCGUUUGGAGGCCGCAGAGACUAGUGGGUAGCGACUGUUUAUUAAAAACACAGGUCCGUGCCAAGUCGCAAGACGAUGUAUACGGACUGACGCCUGCCCGGUGCUGGAAGGUUAAGAGGACCGGUUAGCCGCAAGGCGAAGCUGAGAAUUUAAGCCCCAGUAAACGGCGGUGGUAACUAUAACCAUCCUAAGGUAGCGAAAUUCCUUGUCGGGUAAGUUCCGACCUGCACGAAUGGCGUAACGACUUCCCAACUGUCUCAACCGCGAACUCGGCGAAAUUGCAUUACGAGUAAAGAUGCUCGUUACGCGCAGCAGGACGGAAAGACCCCGUGACCUUUACUAUAGCUUUGUAUUGGUGUUCGGUGUGGCUUGUGUAGGAUAGGUGGGAGAAUUUGAAGCACGGACGCCAGUUCGUGUGGAUUCAUUGUUGAAAUACCACUCUGGUCACUCUGGAUGUCUAACUUCGAACCGUAAUCCGGUUCAGGGACAGUGCAUGGUGGGUAGUUUAACUGGGGCGGUUGCCUCCCAAAAAGUAACGGAGGCGCCCAAAGGUUCCCUCAACCUGGUUGGCAAUCAGGUGGCGAGUGUAAGCGCACAAGGGAGCUUGACUGUGAGACUGACAGGUCGAGCAGGGACGAAAGUCGGGACUAGUGAUCCGGCAGUGGCUUGUGGAAGCGCUGUCGCUCAACGGAUAAAAGGUACCUCAGGGAUAACAGGCUGAUCUUGCCCAAGAGUCCAUAUCGACGGCAUGGUUUGGCACCUCGAUGUCGGCUCGUCGCAUCCUGGGGCUGGAGUAGGUCCCAAGGGUUGGGCUGUUCGCCCAUUAAAGCGGUACGCGAGCUGGGUUUAGAACGUCGUGAGACAGUUCGGUCCCUAUCCGCUGCGCGCGCAGGAAAUUUGAGAGGAUCUGACCCUAGUACGAGAGGACCGGGUUGGACGAACCUCUGGUGUGUCAGUUGUUCCGCCAGGAGCACCGCUGAUUAGCUACGUUCGGGAUGGAUAACCGCUGAAAGCAUCUAAGCGGGAAGCCGGCCUCAAGAUGAGAUUUCCAUGCCUUCGGGCGAGAGGCUCCCAGCCAGACUACUGGGUUGAUAGGCCGGAUGUGGAAGCGUGGUAACACGUGAAGCUGACCGGUACUAAUAAGCCGAUGAUUUGUU